CAAUACUUGCACACCCCCUAAAAAAUCGCUGGUUGAAUUUCUGAGCUCGCCGAGCGGCGGUCUUUGGCCGACAAUAGAUAGAACGGCCUCGUCCCUCGGGGGGUAUUUACUGUGUUAAAAUAGGAGUGUUUAAAGCAGGGUUUAGGCUUGAAUACCUUAUCAUGGAAUAAUGAGAUAGGACCAAUUCGCCUUUUGUUGGUUGCGCGAUUCGCAAAUGAUUAAUAGGGACAGUUGGGGGUAUUCCUAUUUAAUUGUCAGAGGUGAAAUUCUUAGAUUUAUUAAAGAUGAACUACUGCGAAAGCAUUUACCAAGGAUGUUUUCAUUAAUCUAGAACGAAAGUCAGGGGAUCGAAUA
rnacentral:rRNA from 1 species